GCCCAGCCUGGGCCUGAGGAAGCAGCAUCGGGGGAGCCUCAGCCAUGGCCUGGACCCCUCUCCUCCUCGGCCUCCUCGCUCACUGCACAGGCUCUGCCACCUCCUAUGAGCUGACUCAGCCACACUCGGUGUCAGUGGCCCCAGGACAGACGGCCAAGAUUACCUGUGGGGGAAACAACAUUGGAGGUAAAAAUGUGUACUGGUACCAGCAGAAAUCAGGCCAGGCCCCUGUGCUUGUCAUCUAUGAAGAUAGCAACAGGCCCUCAGGGAUCCCUGAGCGAUUCUCUGGCUCCAACUCUGGGAACACGGCCACCCUGACCAUCAGCGGGGUCGAGGCCAGGGAUGAGGCUGACUAUUACUGUCAGGUGUUGGACAGCAGUAGUUAUGAUCCCACAGUGACACAGGCAGAUGGGGAACCCCCUCCAGGAGUCUCUACCAAGCACGCAUCAGGCAUAGACAUGGCCUGGAAGGACCAGAGUCAUCUGGUGACUUGCGGCUUCUGUGUGAGUUAG